UACGGGGGGAGCAAGCGUUGAUCGGAAUUACUGGGCGUAAAGGGCGUGUAGGCGGCCAUGUAAGUCGGGGGUGAAAUCCACUGGCUCAACCAGUGACGUGCCUUCGAAACUGAGUGGCUUGAGUAUGGCAGAGGGAAGCGGAAUUCCAGGUGUAGCGGUGAAAUGCGUAGAGAUCUGGAAGAACACCGGUGGCGUAGGCGGCUUCCUGGGCCAAUACUGACGCUGAUGCGCGAAAGCCAGGGGAGCAAACGGG
rnacentral:rRNA from 1 species